GGGAGGGGGGCCGCCGCCGCCGUCAUACUCAUAUCAUAUCUUCUUCUUCUUCUCCAAAAAAAUACUAGUGUAAUGUGUGAUUUGUGAGAGAUGAUGGAGCUGUGUAGGAUUCGAACCUUCCAGAAGAGCCUACUGAGGCCCCUCCUCCUCCUCCAGCAUGCCCCUUGUAGAACCCUCCAAACCCUAGGGCGGUCCCCUUCGCCCUCGGUGUUCCGGCCCCCCCGCCGCCGCCCCCCGCUCCUCCUCCUCCUCCUCCGCUCCUCCUUCGCCUCCGUCUCUCCGGGUCCGGCCCCCGGGAGCGGGACAGGCGAAUGCCCCCCGCCCCCGCCCGCGCCCUUGCCGCCCGACGAGCUCGCCUCCGACGACGACGCCUACUACCACGAGCACAUUCUCGAGGCCACGCAGGAGGACCAAAGUCGCCUCGUUCCAGUCAAGGCCUACUUCCCCUGCACCAGCAUCAACCUCAAGAGCCUCCAGUCCCAGAAUUCCUUCAAUGUCAUCCCCCCCACUUCGCGUGCUACCAACUACGUCGUCCUCAGGUACUACGAUGUCAAGGGAGACCCAGAGGGUUUUAAGGCUGGCAUCAUAGAUGAAAGUCAUUGCCACUAUAUGGUGGUGUUCCAAUAUGGGUCCAUUGUGCUGUUUAAUGUUUCUGAUCAUGAAGCGGAUGGAUACCUGAAAAUUGUUGAGAAGCAUGCAUCAGGCUUACUUCCAGAGAUGAGAAAAGAUGAUUAUGCUGUUGUUGAGAAGCCUACCUUGGAGACAUGGAUGCAGGGUGGACUUGACUUCAUCAUACUCAGGGACCUAAGUAUCGAUGGGAUUCGUACAAUUGGAAGUGUCCUUGGUCAGAGUAUUGCCCUUGACUAUUAUAUCCGGCAAGUAGAUGGAAUGGUAGCUGAGUUCACGGAUAUAAAUCGUGGAAUGGAAAAGACUGGUACCUUCACUAUGGAAAGGAAAAAGCUUUUCCAGUUGGUAGGAAAGGCUAACUCUAACCUGGCAGAUGUUAUUCUCAAGCUUGGGCUUUUUGAAAGGUCAGACAUUGCUUGGAAGAACGCAAACUAUGCUCAGAUUUGGGAAUACCUUCGAGAUGAAUAUGAGUUAACCCAAAGAUUUGGGAACCUUGAUUUUAAGUUGAAAUUUGUUGAGCACAACAUUCGUUUUCUUCAAGAGAUCCUUCAGAACAGGAAGUCUGAUUUUCUGGAAUGGCUUAUCAUAAUUUUGAUUAGUGUGGAGAUCCUGAUAUCUGUUUACAACAUUGUUCAGGAGCAAAUGUAGCUGACUAUUGUGGGAAUCCUUGCUGGGGCUGAAACCUCGUCAGAACCACUGUGGCACGAACCACGAAUGACACGUUCUGUCUUGUGGAUUUUUCAAUGGAUCAAGACGUUGCAGAAUCUGAGAACCCACCGCUUACUAGUAGAGAAAGGGUAAAGAAAAGAUUGGUAGCCGUGUUGCUGGACGAUACUCCUAUCUUUGGCAAUGUCAGCUUUUGCGGUCGAUUAAGAAAGGGGUCUGGUUUUAGGACGUUGAACCGACUACUAUAGCAACUGCUAGGUGCCCAUGCGUGUUUACCAAAAUUGAAAAUCGAUCCAAAUGUUUUCAAUUGGCUUUAGUAGAAAAUUUAGCGUACACUUCAUAUUUUAUUGAUUUUCUACAAGCUAUAUUAAAUAACGGAUAAUUUUGUACUAAGACACCAAGGUUGUUUGGGUUCUCCCUUCCCUUGCGUAAGUUGUUCUGGCUGAUUGAGCUGGGCUUCAGUUUUUGGCUUUGCUUUUUCUCUCUUCCCUUGGUAUAAGUCGGUGUUGUGUAACAAAAAUUCUUUUUCUUCUAAUAUAUUGACGUGCAAUCCUUUUGCGCGUUCGUGAAAAA